GAUGAAGAACGUAGCGAAAUGCGAUAAGUAAUGUGAAUUGCAGAGUUCAGUGAAUCAUCGAAUCUUUGAAUGCACAUUGCGCCCGUCAGUAUUCUGACGAGCAUGCCUGUCCGAGCGUCAUUUCAACCCUCAAGCACUGCUUGGCGUUGGCGGAUUGCGUGCCCUCGCGGCGCUGCAACCGCCCAAAUACAGUGGCGGUCCCGCUGCGGCUCCCUUUGCGUAGUAACUCACCUCGCACUGGACCGGGCGGCGGCCUGCCGUAAAACCCCAACUCACGAAAUGUUGACCUCGGAUCAGGUAGGAAUACCCGCUGAACUUAAGCAUAUCAAUAAGCGGAGGA
rnacentral:misc_RNA from 1 species